GAGGAAGCCACGGCUAACUCCGUGCCAGCAGCCGCGGUAAUACGGAGGUGGCAAGCGUUGUUCGGAAUCACUGGGCGUAAAGGGUACGUAGGUGGUUCGAUAAGUCUUCGGUGAAAUCUCCCAGCUCAACUGGGAAACUGCCGGAGAUACUGUCGGACUUGAGUUUGGAGGGGGAGAGUGGAAUUCCCGGUGUAGAGGUGAAAUUCGUAGAUAUCGGGAAGAACACCAGUGGCGAAAGCGACUCUCUAGCCCAAAACUGACACUGAGGUACGAAAGCUAGGGGAGCAAACAGGAUUAGAUACCCUGGUAGUCCUAGCCGUAAACGAUGAGCACUUGGUAUUUUUGCGUCAAGCAGGAGUGCCGAAGCUAACGCGUUAAGUGCUCCGCCUGGGGAGUACAGUCGCAAGGCUGAAACUCAAAGGAAUUGACGGGGGCCCGCACAAGCGGUGGAGCAUGUGGUUUAAUUCGACACUACGCGAGGAACCUUACCAGGGCUUGACAUGCUGGAAGUAGGAACCCGAAAGGGGGACGACCUGUAUUCAAUCAGGAGCCAGCACAGGUGCUGCAUGGCUGUCGUCAGCUCGUGUCGUGAGAUGUUGGGUUAAGUCCCACAACGAGCGCAACCCCUAUCCUGUAUUACCAUCAGGUUAAGCUGGGGACUUACAGGAGACUGCCCCGGAUAACGGGGACGAAGGUGGGGACGACGUCAAGUCAGGAUGGCCUUUAUGCUCUGGGCUACACACGUGCUACAAUGGCCUGUACAAUGGGUAGCAAUACCGCGAGGUGGAGCUAAUCCCCGAAAGCAGGCCUCAAUUCGGAUUGGAGGCUGCAACUCGCCUCCAUGAAGUCGGAAUCGCUAGUAAUGGCGCAUCAGCAACGGCGCCGUGAAUACGUUCCCGGGCCUUGUACACACCGCCCGUCAAGUCAACCGAGUCGAAUGCACUAGAAAUCCCCGAAUACUCGGGGCCCAAGGUGUGUUUGGUAAGGGGGACU
rnacentral:rRNA from 1 species